GUAAAAAGAAAUAAACUAACAGUGGCUAAAAUAUGUUUUGCUGCCGGCACCAUCCACAGCAGUACAUUGCUUUGCUUCCAUGUGCUAACUCCUGCCUGCUUCUCAGAACUGGAGGCAUGCUGACCGUCAUCUUC